rnacentral:siRNA from 1 species
UCACAUAGGUGGAGAACAUGGUCC